GGCAACGUCUAGCGGUCAGAACGCUGGCCUUGUAAUCCUGGGGUCUCGGGUUCGAUUCCCGGCGGUGCCC
rnacentral:tRNA from 1 species